GCCACUGUGGGAUGGCUCAGUCGGUUGAGCAUGCGGAUCUAAACCUCAAGGUAGCGAGUUCAAGUCCCACCUUGGGCA